GGGGUAAACCUGCGAAACUCGAAUGAACGAACGGAGAGAUUCAUCGUCACUCCUCGGCGUACGGUUGCGCGUUCGAUGUGUUCGGACCUCGGUCCGGAUGCACGUCGUGUCGUCGUUGACGUUCGAGGACGGCGUGCACUUCUCUCUCAGUAAACAUACAUCGCGACCCGUUCGAUGUCGGUCUAAGCGCUGUACGGGAGCCCCGUUGUCUACCCUCACGGGUGGGCGGCGGGACCGAUCGCGUGCGCCGACCGGCCGUCGGACGGUAUAGAUUAUGAAACGCGCACGCGUCUUAACGCGUCCGGCCCGACGCAAGUCAGUGUCGUAUCCGACGCUUCGCCCGAGUGCGAACGUAGGUGCGGCGCGUCUGUCGUCGCUGCCGUGCAGUCUCGGACUGUGCGCGUCUCCGUCUGCGAUGAUUCAGUUUCGGGCACUCGCAGGACCCGUCUUGAAACACGGACCAAGGAGUCUAGCAUGCGUGCGAGUCAUUGAGAUUUUUUCGAAUAAACUGAAAGGCGCAACGAAAGUGAAGGCGUGCGCUAGUCGCGCGCUCAGGGAGGAUGGAGCGUCGAUCCAGGUCGACCUCUCGCACUCCCGAGGCGUCUCGUUUCCAAUCCGUGAAUGCAGGCGCGCUC
rnacentral:rRNA from 1 species